AAAAGAGUAAUAGUAUUAUUCAAAUUUGAAGUCACGCGAAAUUGGCAGAAUAUCGGUCAUAGGUGUCUUCGGAGAUGGUGCUGCCGGAUGCUAUUUUAAGUGAAACCAACGACACGACCUGACACUUAGUGAAAUUUAUCGAAGAAAAAGUGUGCGAAUCAUUUACUGCCAUUUACCAGUACAUUUAGUGACCCCUCGAUGUGGUCAAGAAAAAUAGUUUUCCAGCAGCACUUUCUUGUUUUGAUUUUGAGUUGCUGUGUAGCAACCUUGCUGUUUUGUUUAUGUAAAUAAGCAGUAUGAAUAAAAAUCAGUUGGAGGAAAAACUUUUCCAACAAAUAUUCGAGUGAGUGCGAAUUUGCUGAACUGGUCCUACUUCGGUAAAAAAAACCACACAUGUCGGAAUAGCAGGUUCAUUUGCAACUAAUUUGUGACGGUACUGACGACACAGGUGUUUCGAGGGCUAUUUCGAUCAACGCGGUAGAUUUAAUGAUUGCAUUGAUUUCGAACGUUCUUUGACUCGAGGCUCGCUUUCAUGAUCCGUGGAAUGACCGCCAGUGCUCGAUUAUAUGAGUUCUUUUCAGUGCACCCAAAGAUGGAUCAAAAACUAAUUCACAUCACUCCCGAAUCUCAGAUGUGGGGAGAAAUUUAAUUUGAAAGCGUAUCUUUCACAAGACCCGAGCCAGCGAGCGGAGCCCUUGCGUGGUCUUCUGGUGCCCUUGGCGGGGUCUCAGGUAUGCGCUCCAACAGAAGUUGUAAACGUUCCGCUGACAUAAGCUGGAUAACUAUGUAGCUUCAGAUAAUCACUAUUGACUUGUCAAAGGAGUUUGGGUUGAAAACCAUUGAGACUGCCGCCCCUUGCAGACCACUAGCCUUAUUAUUUCUGCAUCCAAUAGACACCGAGGGCGAAAUAUACCGAUGAAAAAAUGGAGCAGAAUAAAUACAUCAGAUGAAAAGAUUUUAUUUAAUUUUAAUCUAAUUUCGAAUUACUCAUAUACGAGAUGCAAUUUUUGGAAUGCUAGUGUCUAGUCGUGUCGUUGGUAAGACUUUUCGUUCUCCGGAACCUGCAACGGUUGUAGGAAUAGGAAUAAAAAACGGUAAUCCUUCAAAGUCUCCACCACUCGAGACCAGCGAAAUAAGAAAAAGAAAACUAGAGGGAUGAAGAAAUAACUCAUACUCGUUCCGUUGGCCGAGGCAGUAGUCCUGAUGCUAGAUACCACACUCCAGAAAUCGGUAAGAAUGGCGUUUCCUCGUCGCCCAAGAUAUAGGACGAUGCGACGUUGUCAGAGUCGGAGUUGGAAUUGCAAAGGGCGACUUGCCCAUCGCACCUGAAAGAAUAAUUGGACGAGUGCUCCCAGUUGGUACUGACGGUUAACUUUCCCUCAGCGAGUCACAGAAGACAAUGACGCAGUAGCAAGUUAGAAGUACAAAAUUGUAUCUAUUUGAACCAUAGAUAAA